GCGCCGGCCCCUCCGCCGCCCCCCAAGCCUGGCUCCCCGCGCGCCGGGCUUGCUGCCGGCACCGGAUGGAGAGUCCCGAGAAGGCUUAAUUUGCAGGAAGACAUUCUCAUCAGAUCUCGUCUCCGGCAGCCGAGCGCUGCUGCCGGGGGUCGGGCCGGGCUCCUCCCAGCACCCCUCCCCCGGGCCCUGGCUGGACGAGAAACAGAGAUGGUGGCAGCAGAAACUGGAGCCCCGGCGCCGGCGCCGGAGCGGCCGCGAGGGGCCGGAGCCUUUGAGGGCUUCGCUGCUUCUUGCCAAGGGCCGAGAAAGUGUGUAGAAUUGAGGGGAAGAAGUUCCGGAGAGCCAGAAACUUCCGGAAGCGCUUGAUUCCACGAUUAAAGACUACCCGGCUCUACUGCUCACCCGCUGUGUGGCUUUGGGGAAGUUACUUGGGGACUUCAGUUUUCUCUGAAAAACCGGCAACUCGGGUCACGUUUUUUUCCCCCUAGCUCAAUCAUUCAGCGAAGAGAGGAAAUCUGGCGGUCAGGUUGCUCCCGGAGGAUAGAGGGGAGAUGGGUUGCAGGAGGGGUGAGGUGUGUGGCAGAAAGAAGAAUCCUGGCCAGUGCAGAGCGUCGGAGUCGCAAAAGCCAGGAGCACAUUUCCAGGGGUCUAUGGCUGUCUCCACCGUUGCCCAGAGAGCACAAGUGGGGGAGGGGCAGAGAGAGACGGAGUCACAGAA